rnacentral:rRNA from 1 species
GUCACGGUGAGAGCAGGCGGACUGGUGAGUAACGCGUGGGUGAUCUACCUUUUGGACUGGGAUAGCUGUUAGAAAUAGCAGGUAAUACCGGAUGAGGUCACAUGACUAUGGUGAUGUGAAGAAAGGCGCUUUGGCGCCGCCAAGAGAUGAGCCCGCGUCCCAUUAGCUAGUUGGUGAAGUAACACGGUUUACCAAGGCGAAGAUGGGUAGCCGGCCUGAGAGGGUGAACUGGCAACACUGGGACUGAGAUACGGCCCAGAACUCCUACGGGAGAGCAGCAGAUAAGAAUAUUCCGCAAUGGACGAAAGUCUGACGGAGCGACGCCGCGUGGAUCGAGGAAGGCCGAAAGGUUGUAAAAAUCCUUUUUGGACAAGGAACGAAAGGAA